rnacentral:rRNA from 1 species
CGCGUAGGUGGCCACUAUAAGGCCGCGGUGAAAGUUCGGGGCUCAACCCUGAAUCGGCCGCGGCGACUGUAGGGCUUGGGCACCGUAGAGGCAGAUGGAAUUCCGGGUGUAGCGGUGGAAUGCGUAGAGAUCCGGAAGAACACCAGUGGCGAAGGCGGUCUGCUGGGCGGUGGAUCCGCAAGGGUCCAAUAGCCGACACUGAGGCGCGACAGCGUGGGGAGCAAACA